rnacentral:rRNA from 1 species
UACGUAGGGUGCAGGCGUUAAUCGGAAUUACUGGGCGUAAAGCGUGCGCAGGCGGUUGCUAAGACAGGUGUGAAAUCUCCGGGCUUAACCCGGAAAGGUCAGCCGAUGACUGCGGGGCUAGAGUGCAGAAGGGGCAACUGGAAUUCUCGGUGGUAGCGGUGAAAUCGCGUAGAUAUCGAGAGGAACACCUGCGGCGAAGGCGGGUUGCUGGGCUGACACUGACGCUGAGGCGCGAAAGCUAGGGGAGCGAACGGG